AACCUUCAAAUUAAUCUAAGAUAUAUAUUUCACAGGGUUUCUCGCAGGUCUGGGGUCGGCAACUGUCUUCACAGUCGCUUCCUAGUAUGGUCACCCAUCGCCGUGACUUUGGCUCCUUUAACCUACUUGCACUUUAUUUUUUUUUAUUUUUCCUUAAUUUUACUUGGUCUUUAUUUAACCACUUCAUGACUCCUCACUCUAGCUUAAGUGUAGUUCCAGACAUCCUG
rnacentral:misc_RNA from 1 species